rnacentral:rRNA from 1 species
UGAGACCUGAUGCCGAGCCGAUUGUGGUGAAGUGGAUGAUCCUAUGCUGUCGAGAAAAGCCUCUAGCGAGUUUCAUGGCGGCCCGUACCCUAAACCGACUCAGGUGGUCAGGUAGAGAAUACCGAGGCGUUCGGGUGAACUAUGGUUAAGGAACUCGGCAAAAUGCCCCCGUAACUUCGGGAGAAGGGGGGCCACAACUGGUGAGAGCACUUGCUGCUCGAGCUGGGGGUGGCCGCAGAGACCAGCGAGAAGCGACUGUUUACUAAAAACACAGGUCCGUGCGAAGCCGUAAGGCGAUGUAUACGGACUGACGCCUGCCCGGUGCUGGAACGUUAAGGGGACCGGUUAGUCCAACUUCGGUUGGGCGAAGCUGAGAACUUAAGCGCCAGUAAACGGCGGUGGUAACUAUAACCAUCCUAAGGUAGCGAAAUUCCUUGUCGGGUAAGUUCCGACCUGCACGAAUGGCGUAACGACUUCUCGACUGUCUCAACCAUAGGCCCGGUGAAAUUGCACUACGAGUAAAGAUGCUCGUUUCGCGCAGCAGGACGGAAAGACCCCGGGACCUUUACUACAGUUUGAUAUUGGUGUUCGGUUCGGCUUGUGUAGGAUAGCUGGGAGACUGUGAAGCUUGGACGCCAGUUCAGGUGGAGUCGUCGUUGAAAUACCAGUCUGGUCGUGCUGGAUGUCUAACCUGGGUCCGUGAUCCGGAUCAGGGACAGUGUCUGAUGGGUAGUUUAACUGGGGCGGUUGCCUCCUAAAGAGUAACGGAGGCGCCCAAAGGUUCCCUCAGCCUGGUUGGCAAUCAGGUGUUGAGUGUAAGUGCACAAGGGAGCUUGACUGUGAGACCGACGGGUCGAGCAGGGACGAAAGUCGGGACUAGUGAUCCGGCGGUGGCUUGUGGAAGCGCCGUCGCUCAACGGAUAAAAGGUACCCCGGGGAUAACAGGCUGAUCUUCCCCAAGAGUCCAUAUCGACGGGAUGGUUUGGCACCUCGAUGUCGGCUCGUCGCAUCCUGGGGCUGGAGUCGGUCCCAAGGGUUGGGCUGUUCGCCCAUUAAAGCGGUACGCGAGCUGGGUUUAGAACGUCGUGAGACAGUUCGGUCCCUAUCCGCUGCGCGCGCAGGAAUAUUGAGAAGGGCUGUCCCUAGUACGAGAGGACCGGGACGGACGAACCUCUGGUGUGCCAGUUGUUCUGCCAAGGGCAUGGCUGGUUGGCUACGUUCGGGAGGGAUAACCGCUGAAAGCAUCUAAGCGGGAAGCCUGCUUCGAGAUGAGUAUUCCCACCCACUUGAUGGGGUAAGGCUCCCAGUAGACGACUGGGUUGAUAGGCCGGAUAUGGAAGCACGGUAACGUGUGGAGUUGACCGGUACUAAUAGGCCGAGGGCUUGUCCUCAGUUG